GAUGAACGCUGGCGGCGUGCCUAAUACAUGCAAGUCGAGCGAGCAGAUAAGGAGCUUGCUCCUUUGACGUUAGCGGCGGACGGGUGAGUAACACGUGGGUAACCUACCUAUAAGACUGGAAUAACUCCGGGAAACCGGGGCUAAUGCAGGAUAACAUGUUGAACCGCAUGGUUCUACAGUGAAAGGCGGCUUUGCUGUCACUUAUAGAUGGACCCGCGCCGUAUUAGCUAGUUGGUGAGGUAACGGCUCACCAAGGCAACGAUACGUAGCCGACCUGAGGGGGUGAUCGGCCACACUGGAACUGAGACACGGUCCAGACUCCUACGGGAGGCAGCAGUAGGGAAUCUUCCGCAAUGGGCGAAAGCCUGACGGAGCAACGCCGCGUGAGUGAUGAAGGUCUUCGGAUCGUAAAACUCUGUUAUUAGGGAAGAACAAAUGCGUAAGUAACUGUGCGCGUCUUGACGGUACCUAAUCAGAAAGCCACGGCUAACUACGUG
rnacentral:rRNA from 1 species